UGGGGAAUUUUGGACAAUGGGGUAAACCCUGAUCCAGCCAUCCCGCGUGUGCGAUGAAGGCCUUCGGGUUGUAAAGCACUUUUGGCAGGAAAGAAACGUCAUGGGUUAAUACCCCGUGAAACUGACGGUACCUGCAGAAUAAGCACCGGCUAACUACGUGCCAGCAGCCGCGGUAAUACGUAGGGUGCAAGCGUUAAUCGGAAUUACUGGGCGUAACGCGUGCGCAGGCGGUUCGGAAAGUAAGAUGUGAAAUCCCAGAGCUCAACUUUGGAACUGCAUUUUUAACUACCGGGCUAGAGUGUGUCAGAGGGAGGUGGAAUUCCGCGUGUAGCAGUGAAAUGCGUAGAUAUGCGGAGGAACACCGAUGGCGAAGGCAGCCUCCUGGGAUAACACUGACGCUCAUGCACGAAAGCGUGGGGAGCAAACAGG
rnacentral:rRNA from 1 species